GCAUCGCUGGUUCAGUGGUAGAAUUGUCGCCAGCCACGCGACAGACCCGGGUUCAAUUCCCGGCCGAUGCA